rnacentral:rRNA from 1 species
AUUGAACGCUGGCGGCAGGCCUAACACAUGCAAGUCGAGCGGUAACAGAGAGUAGCUUGCUACUUUGCUGACGAGCGGCGGACGGGUGAGUAAUGCUUGGGAAUAUGCCUUAUGGUGGGGGACAACAGUUGGAAACGACUGCUAAUACCGCAUGAUGUCUACGGACCAAAGUGGGGGACCUUCGGGCCUCACGCCAUAAGAUUAGCCCAAGUGGGAUUAGCUAGUUGGUGAGGUAAUGGCUCACCAAGGCGACGAUCCCUAGCUGGUUUGAGAGGAUGAUCAGCCACACUGGGACUGAGACACGGCCCAGACUCCUACGGGAGGCAGCAGUGGGGAAUAUUGCACAAUGGGCGCAAGCCUGAUGCAGCCAUGCCGCGUGUGUGAAGAAGGCCUUCGGGUUGUAAAGCACUUUCAGUAAGGAGGAAAGGUUAAGUGUUAAUAGCACUUAGCUGUGACGUUACUUACAGAAGAAGCACCGGCUAACUCCGUGCCAGCAGCCGCGGUAAUACGGAGGGUGCGAGCGUUAAUCGGAAUUACUGGGCGUAAAGCGUACGCAGGCGGUUUGUUAAGCGAGAUGUGAAAGCCCCGGGCUCAACCUGGGAACUGCAUUUCGAACUGGCAAACUAGAGUGUGAUAGAGGGUGGUAGAAUUUCAGGUGUAGCGGUGAAAUGCGUAGAGAUCUGAAGGAAUACCGAUGGCGAAGGCAGCCACCUGGGUCAACACUGACGCUCAUGUACGAAAGCGUGGGGAGC